rnacentral:misc_RNA from 1 species
AACCUAGCACACCUGCGGUGUGUACCUGCGGAGGGAUCAUUACCGAGUUUACAACUCCCAAACCCCUGUGAACAUACCUAUACGUUGCCUCGGCGGAUCAGCCCGCGCCCUGUAAAAAGGGACGGCCCGCCCGAGGACCCUAAACUCUGUUUUUAGUGGAACUUCUGAGUAAAACAAACAAAUAAAUCAAAACUUUCAACAAUGGAUCU